CCUACGGGAGUCAGCAGUGAGGAAUAUUGGUCAAUGGGCGCGAGCCUGAACCAGCCACGUAGCGUGAAGGAUGACUGCCCUACGGGUUGUAAACUUCUUUUAUAAAGGAAUAAAGUGAGGCACGUGUGCCUUUUUGUAUGUACUUUAUAAAUAAGAAUCGGCUAACUCCGUGCCAGCAGCCGCGGUAAUACGGAGGUUCCGAGCGUUAUCCGGAUUUCUGGGGUUUAAAGGGGGCGUAGCUGGGUUGUUCAGUCAGUUGUGAAAGUUUGCGGUUCAACCGUAAAAGUGCAAUUGAUACUGGCAGGCUGGAGUACAGGUGAGGUAGGCGGAAUGCGUGGUGUAGCGGUGAAAUGCUUAGAUAUCACGAAGAACUCCGAUUGCGAAGGCAGCUUACGAAACUGCGACUGACACUGAUGCUCGAAAGUGUGGGUAUCAAACAGGAUUAGAUACCCGAGUAGUC
rnacentral:rRNA from 1 species